rnacentral:rRNA from 1 species
AGAGUUUGAUCCUGGCUCAGAUUGAACGCUGGCGGCAUGGCUAAAACAUGCAAGUCGAACGCGAACGGGGCUUCGGCCCUUAUUAGAGUGGCGAAAGGGCGAGUAAUGCAUGCUUAACGUGCCCCGAGGUGCGGGAUAGCAGGGGGAAACUCCUGGUAAUACCGCAUGAUCCCGCAGAACCGCAUGGCUCUGCGGGCAAAGGUUUACUGCCUCGGGAUCGGAGCAUGUCCUAUCAGGUUGUUGGUGAGGUAAUGGCUCACCAAGCCCAAGACGGGUAGCGGGUGUGAGAGCACGACCCGCCGCAUCGGGACUGAGACACUGCCCGGACUCCUACGGGAGGCUGCAGUAACGAAUAUUCCGCAAUGCGCGAAAGCGUGACGGAGCAAUGCCGCGUGAAGGAUGAAGCCCCUAGGGGUGUAAACUUCUGUCAGGGUCUAGGAAUAAUGACCAGACCCAAAGGAAGGACCGGCUAACUCUGUGCCAGCAGCCGCGGUAAUACAGAGGGUCCAAGCGUUAAUCGGAAUCACUGGGCUUAAGGGUGCGCAGGCGGACUUGUAGGUAUCUUGUGAAAUCCCACGGCUCAACCGUGGAAUCGCUCGGUAAACCACAAGUCUUGAGCGCGACAGGGGCCGUCGGAACGGUAGUGGAGCGGUGAAAUG